GGACUCUUUUUCAUUUUGGUUUUCUUUAGGAAAAGGACCUCAAUUAAGAAGAAACCCCCAGAGGAGCCAAGCAGGAGACUGAAGACGCAGGAGGACUGAGCAUACGAGAGACAGGCCCAUGAAGACAAGAUGAAUGACGGGGAUAGGUACUGAGUGUUUCUGGAUAUUUGAAGGUAAAUAACUCUAUCAAUACUUAAAAGGUUAAUAAGUACAAUAUGCUGGCUUUUAAGAAAAAAUACACAUUUUCACAGUAACUGAAGGGCUGUAAUUCAUGUUUGUUUUCAGGUAACUCCAAAGAGUCAAACACCCAAAAUGACUCUAGAGGAGCCCAAAGAUGACGACCAACCCUGUGAUGAACAAGCCGACAUGAAGAAAUAAAGUAAGUAAAGCUUGAUGAAUGUGUCUUAUAUCAUCAAACUGUUGUCUUGGUGUGCUGCUCUAUUGACCUACUUAAGAUGAACUUUUAGUUAGUAUGCUAUUGUGUAGGUUUACAUUAGGCUACAUAAUUAACACUUGCAGUAAUUUAUUUGCUAAAUGAUAAACAGGCAAUUCCCAAUUCCCUACAGAAAAAGUAGCCCUGUGCCUUGUUGAAAUAUAACCAAACAGUCUUAUUCAUAUAGUUGGUCUCUUUUUAUUUACCAAUUGCAGCAUCAUGCCUAGAAAGGAGAGGAGAAGAAGGGAAACAGAAAGGGAGUUACAGCAGGCAGCCCAGGGGAGCAGCUCUCUACUCUCCUGGAUAAAAGCAUCCACCAGCAGCAAGGAGGAAGAUGAAGAUAAAAGGUCAGAGUCAAGAGUCAUGUUCACUGUUUAGGGCAUUUUACAGCUCAGAUUUUGAAGUUGAACUGUUCCUCUAAUUUGACUGAAAUAUCUUAAAAGCUGUCUACACAAAGUGGUUUGGUUGUACUAAAUUAGGCAUUAAGCUAUUUUAGCUAAUGAUAUUAUUUUGUACCAACAAGUUAUUUCCAUGUUACAAGACUUGCAGUAAAGUUACCUUUAUAGGCUAUAUUCAACCUUAGAAAAAUAGACUAGUACUAAAACUAUUAUUAUUCUAUUCUAGGCAGCUACAGCAGGGAAGCGGUCGACCAACAACCAGCAAAGAAGCUGAGAUUGAUGAAUCUCCAGAGUCAUCUACGGAUAAAGACGAGUCCAUAGCAGCACCAAGUCUAUGCAGUUACAGAAUCAGAAGUGCUGUCUGAUGACCAAAAUGAGGGAGAACAAGAAAGGCAUGAUGUAGCAGCUGUAUUUCAAAGAAAUGACAUAUUAAACAUUUCUUUUAUUUAUUAAUUUUAUUUUAUUUAUUUAUUUAUUUAUUCAUUUAGAAGUCA